CCUACGGGAGGCAGCAGUGGGGAAUAUUGCACAAUGGGGGGAACCCUGAUGCAGCGACGCCGCGUGAGUGAAGAAGUAAUUCGUUAUGUAAAGUUCUAUCAGACGGGAAGAAAAUGACGGUACCUGCGUAAGAAGCACCGGCUAACUACGUGCCACCAGCCGCGGCAAUAAUUAGGGGGCAAGAGUUAUCCGGAUUUACUGGGUGGAAAGGGAGCGUAGACGGCAGUGCAAGUCUGGAGUGAAAGGUGGGGGCUCAACCCCCGGACUGCUCUGGAAACUGUACGGCUGGAGUGCAGGAGAGGUAAGCGGAAUUCCCGGUGUAGCGGUGAAAUGCGUAGAUAUUAGGAGGAACACCAGUGGCGAAGGCGGCUUACUGGACAGUAACUGACGUUGAGGCGCGAAGGCGUGGGGAGCAAACAGGAUUAGAUACCCCUGUAGUC
rnacentral:rRNA from 1 species